UAGCAGCCAAGGAAAAGGGAAACAUG
rnacentral:piRNA from 1 species